rnacentral:rRNA from 1 species
UACAGAGGGUGCGAGCGUUAAUCGGAAUAACUGGGCGUAAAGGGUGCGUAGGCGGACCGUUAAGUCAGAUGUGAAAGCCCUGGGCUCAACCUGGGAAUGGCAUUUGAAACUGGCAGUCUAGAGUAAAGAAGAGGAGAGUGGAAUUUCAGGUGUAGCGGUGAAAUGCGUAGAUAUCUGAAGGAACACCAGUGGCGAAGGCGACUCUCUGGUCUUUUACUGACGCUGAGGCACGAAAGCGUGGGGAGCAAACAGG